UAUGACUAACAGAAGAGGGGGACAGGGUCACGUGGGAUAGACAUGGCUUCUGUGGAAGUCCCCAGAGACAGUAGGAUGGUUGUCAGAUGGGCAGCAAGCCCAACGGUCCUCUACCAGUGCUCCUCCAGGUACCAGUCAAUGGUCUGAUGCUAGCUCAAGAAGGGAUAAAGAGCAUGUGUCAGAAUAUGCUGAUCAAAUGGCUGGAGCCCUAGAAACCACACCAUAAACAUGAGAUGAAGACUCACCCAAGGGAUUUUGGAAUGGCUUCAACCCCAUCUCAAACGGAUGGCAAGAUGGCUUCAGUAUUUCCAGACAUGACAAGACCCUGAGAAAGAACAGACAACAUUUCUUUUGUUUUCUUUGGAGCCAGAAAACAUUUCUCAGAAGUCUCCCAUGUCUCAUUGGCCAGAAUUGGGGGGCAUGCCCAUCCCUGAAUCAACGUCUGGCAGCGGGAAUGUGAUUACCUUCAGGCUCACAGACCCACCCUUGGGCUGGGGAAGGGUGAGUUUCCUCUAAGGCACAUUGCUGCUUGGAAGAAUACAUCUAC